rnacentral:rRNA from 1 species
CCCGCUGAACUUAAGCAUAUCAAUAAGCGGAGGAAAAGAAACUAACAAGGAUUCCCCUAGUAACUGCGAGUGAAGCGGGAAAAGCUCAAAUUUAAAAUCUGGUGGUCUUUGGCCAUCCGAGUUGUAAUUUAGAGAAGCGUCUUCCGCGCUGGACCGUGCACAAGUCUCCUGGAACGGAGCGUCGUAGAGGGUGAGAAUCCCGUCUUUGGCACGGACACACCAGGGCUUUUGCGAUGCGCUCUCGAAGAGUCGAGUUGUUUGGGAAUGCAGCUCAAAAUGGGUGGUGAACUCCAUCUAAAGCUAAAUAUGGGCGAGAGACCGAUAGCGAACAAGUACCGUGAGGGAAAGAUGAAAAGAACUUUGAAAAGAGAGUUAAACAGUACGUGAAAUUGUUGAAAGGGAAACGUUUCAAGUCAGUUGCGUUGGCUGGUAAUCAACCUUUGCAAUCUUGCUGGGCUUACUUUCCAGUCGACGGGUCAGCAUCAAUUUUGACUGUCAGAUAAAGGCGUGGGGAAUGUGGCAUCCUCGGAUGUGUUAUAGCCCCUUGUCAGAUGUGAUGGUUGGGAUUGAGGAACUCAGCAUGCCUUUACCGGUCGGGGCCUACGCCCACGUAACGUGCUCAGGAUGCUGGCAUAAUGGCUUGAACCGACCCGUCUUGAAACACGG